rnacentral:miRNA from 1 species
GAAGCUCUGUUCUACAGGUAU